rnacentral:lncRNA from 1 species
GCGUCCCCUGUGGCUACUCACCUUGCUGCUGGCUCUGAGCCAGGCCUUGCCCUUUGAGCAGAAGGGCUUCUGGGACUUCACCUUGGAUGAUGGGCUGCUCAUGAUGAAUGAUGAGGAGGCUUCAGGCUCAGACACCACUUCAGGUGUCCCUGACCUGGACUCUCUCACACCUACCUUCAGUGCCAUGUGUCCUUUUGGCUGCCACUGCCACCUGCGGGUUGUUCAGUGCUCUGACUUGGGUCUGAAGACUGUGCCCAAGGAGAUCUCACCUGAUACCACACUGCUAGACCUGCAGAACAAUGACAUCUCUGAACUCCGCAAGGAUGACUUCAAAGGCCUCCAGCACCAUCUUCUCCAGGCUGCUUUCUGUUUCACAGGUCUCUGGCCAGUCCCUGCACAAACAAAUAUAGGGAAACUAUUUUCCUGACUGCCCUACCUGGCACUUGAUCUCCCAUCCCUGGAGGAAGCUGGAAGCUGGAGGCCCAGAAUCCUAUCCAUAUUGUCCAGGAAAGGGUCCAUACUCUGUUAUCAAGAUGAGGAUCAGGAAGCUUCCUAGCCCCUGGAGAGGCUCAGCAGGCCACCAGAGGCCCCCACCCCGAACCAGUUUGCAUUGGCCCCUGCCCUCUCCCCAAGAUGGCUAGGUCCCCUCCCUCACCCCUGGGUCCCUGCUGUGGCAGGAGGUGGUGGUCAGUUGUACCCAGCAGGAGGGAGUGCUGCUUAUGAGGUCAGUUGUCUCUCAAUUAAAGAAACACUGUGCAAUAUG